GAUGAACGCUGGCGGCGUGCUUAACACAUGCAAGUCGAACGGGAAACCUUUUAUUGAAGCUUCGGCAGAUUUAGCUGGUUUCUAGUGGCGGACGGGUGAGUAACGCGUGGGUAACCUGCCUUAUACAGGGGGAUAACAACCAGAAAUGGUUGCUAAUACCGCAUAAGCGCACAGGACCGCAUGGUCCGGUGUGAAAAACUCCGGUGGUAUAAGAUGGACCCGCGUUGGAUUAGCUAGUUGGCAGGGUAACGGCCUACCAAGGCGACGAUCCAUAGCCGGCCUGGGAGGGUGAACGGCCACAUUGGGGCUGGGACACGGCCCAGACUCCUACGGGAGGCAGCAGUGGGGAAUAUUGCACAAUGGGGGGAACCCUGAUGCAGCGACGCCGGGUGAAGGAAGAAGUAUCUCGGUAUGUAAACUUCUAUCAGCAGGGAAGAUAGUGACGGUACCUGACUAAGAAGCCCCGGCUAACUACGUG
rnacentral:rRNA from 1 species